UAGUCAUUUAACUAACCAUCCUUUUGUGUUUCUUUUGCAGCAUUGGAAGCAAAGUUGUACUACUUUGUAGCAAAAAUUAUUACAGUCUGUGUGGUCCAUGGAGGAGUUACCCACCAUUUUUUCUCAGAAAGGCUGUUUCAGCAAUUUGCGGGCUCCCAACAGCCCCUUUCAGAGCAGAAGUCCUGCAUGAUCACAAACUCCGGGAGCAGCUAAUCAAGGUUUGCAGAGGGCUUCAAGAUUCUGGGGCUACUGAAAGAGCUCCAGAAAAACCCAGCCGUUGUUCCUGACAUGUCCGUGUGUGAGGAGAGAGCCCUCACUGCCAGGGACACUUUUGGAGAGACUGGCUGAUUGACAUUGAAGAAGAGGACCCACCCUCUCUCUCGAUGUUUAUCUCUGGAGCCUCUGCCAUUCCUCCACUUGGCUUUUCCUGCCAGCCUAAAAUGCAGUUUCUGCAUGACACCAAGAAAAUUUAUCCAGAAGCCAAUACUUGUCUUGUUGUCCAGUUGUUGUCACUGCACUCCUCCUAUGAGGCUUUUAGAAUAUACAUGAUGGAGGGAAUUUUGCAAGUUUCUUAAAUGAUUACGAAUGUGACAAUGAAAGGUUACACUGAAAGGUGAUGACGGGUUUGCAUGUUUGUUCAGCUGUUGUUAAUGUUUUACUUAAUUUUAAGGUAAAACAUGGUUUUACAAGUCUGAAAAGUGCACCAGUGUUUAAAAAAAACUGAUCAUCUGGCUUUUACUGAAAGCCUUUUUGCUGGUUCUGAGGAUAAAAUAUCAGAAGACUGUGCCAGAUGAUUUCAGGUUCUGCCAUUAAACUUCUGAAAUGGUUUUAGAUUUUAACAACUUUCAGGAAGUUGACAAAUUGUUAUCCAAGACUAUCAUAUGUCCUCUUCUAGGUUUGUCCUUAUGGCAAUAAAGAAAAUACACAAAAUUAAAGUUUGAUACAUAAAAAAAUAUUUAACUGAACUUAUCAUCAUGGCCACUAAUAACAAAGAAAAAAAUAAACAGAUAUUUUUGCCAAUAGGAGGGAGAAGUUUAACACAAGGAGAGGGCCAAAAUAAAAAUGUGCUUUUUAAAAGAAAGGGAAUGAAUAGAUUUCGUCCCACUUCAUGAUUGUGUCCCACUUGUUGAUUCUUAAUGAAAACAUGCAGUUUUAUAUCUUUGUUUGAAACCUGAAAUUUGGCCAAAGGUUGAAAAGUUCAAGGGGGCUAAAUACUUUCAGAAGGUUCUGUAUGUGAGAUCAUGUUGGUCCAGACAACUCCUGUAUGACAGCAGCUCCAGAUGGAAAGGAAGAGGUUGAAACAAUCUGUUUGUUAACACUGAACCUAUAAAUGAGAAGGCAUUCCCAUAUAACUCACAGUAUAAGAUAUGUAAACUAUAUAGAAUUUCCCAUUAGAGUCAAUAAAGAAGCUGUUUUAUAUUA